rnacentral:tRNA from 1 species
GGAUUGUGGCUUAGUGGUAGAGUGUUCGCCUAGCAUGCAUGAGGCACUGGGUUCGAUCCUCAGCACCA